AUACUUACCUGACAGCGGAAACACCACGAUCACCCAGGUGGUUUUCCCAGGGCGAGGCUCCUCCAUUGCACUUGGGAGGUGCUGACCCCUGCGAUUUCCCUAAAUGUGGGAAACUCGGCUGCGUUC
rnacentral:snRNA from 1 species